GAUGAACGCUGGCGGCGUGCCUAAUACAUGCAAGUCGAGCGAACAGACGAGGAGCUUGCUCCUCUGACGUUAGCGGCGGACGGGUGAGUAACACGUGGAUAACCUACCUAUAAGACUGGGAUAACUUCGGGAAACCGGAGCUAAUACCGGAUAAUAUAUUGAACCGCAUGGUUCAAUAGUGAAAGACGGUUUUGCUGUCACUUAUAGAUGGAUCCGCGCCGCAUUAGCUAGUUGGUAAGGUAACGGCUUACCAAGGCAACGAUGCGUAGCCGACCUGAGAGGGUGAUCGGCCACACUGGAACUGAGACACGGUCCAGACUCCUACGGGAGGCAGCAGUAGGGAAUCUUCCGCAAUGGGCGAAAGCCUGACGGAGCAACGCCGCGUGAGUGAUGAAGGUCUUCGGAUCGUAAAACUCUGUUAUUAGGGAAGAACAAAUGUGUAAGUAACUAUGCACGUCUUGACGGUACCUAAACAGAAAGCCACGGCUAACUACGU
rnacentral:rRNA from 1 species